rnacentral:rRNA from 1 species
UUUAUGGAGAGUUUGAUCCUGGCUCAGGAUGAACGCUGGCGGCGUGCCUAAUACAUGCAAGUCGAGCGAACGGACGAGAAGCUUGCUUCUCUGAUGUUAGCGGCGGACGGGUGAGUAACACGUGGAUAACCUACCUAUAAGACUGGGAUAACUUCGGGAAACCGGAGCUAAUACCGGAUAAUAUUUUGAACCGCAUGGUUCAAAAGUGAAAGACGGUCUUGCUGUCACUUAUAGAUGGAUCCGCGCUGCAUUAGCUAGUUGGUAAGGUAACGGCUUACCAAGGCAACGAUGCAUAGCCGACCUGAGAGGGUGAUCGGCCACACUGGAACUGAGACACGGUCCAGACUCCUACGGGAGGCAGCAGUAGGGAAUCUUCCGCAAUGGGCGAAAGCCUGACGGAGCAACGCCGCGUGAGUGAUGAAGGUCUUCGGAUCGUAAAACUCUGUUAUUAGGGAAGAACAUAUGUGUAAGUAACUGUGCACAUCUUGACGGUACCUAAUCAGAAAGCCACGGCUAACUACGUGCCAGCAGCCGCGGUAAUACGUAGGUGGCAAGCGUUAUCCGGAAUUAUUGGGCGUAAAGCGCGCGUAGGCGGUUUUUUAAGUCUGAUGUGAAAGCCCACGGCUCAACCGUGGAGGGUCAUUGGAAACUGGAAAACUUGAGUGCAGAAGAGGAAAGUGGAAUUCCAUGUGUAGCGGUGAAAUGCGCAGAGAUAUGGAGGAACACCAGUGGCGAAGGCGACUUUCUGGUCUGUAACUGACGCUGAUGUGCGAAAGCGUGGGGAUCAAACAGGAUUAGAUACCCUGGUAGUCCACGCCGUAAACGAUGAGUGCUAAGUGUUAGGGGGUUUCCGCCCCUUAGUGCUGCAGCUAACGCAUUAAGCACUCCGCCUGGGGAGUACGACCGCAAGGUUGAAACUCAAAGGAAUUGACGGGGACCCGCACAAGCGGUGGAGCAUGUGGUUUAAUUCGAAGCAACGCGAAGAACCUUACCAAAUCUUGACAUCCUUUGACAACUCUAGAGAUAGAGCCUUCCCCUUCGAGGGACAAAGUGACAGGUGGUGCAUGGUUGUCGUCAGCUCGUGUCGUGAGAUGUUGGGUUAAGUCCCGCAACGAGCGCAACCCUUAAGCUUAGUUGCCAUCAUUAAGUUGGGCACUCUAAGUUGACUGCCGGUGACAAACCGGAGGAAGGUGGGGAUGACGUCAAAUCAUCAUGCCCCUUAUGAUUUGGGCUACACACGUGCUACAAUGGACAAUACAAAGGGCAGCGAAACCGCGAGGUCAAGCAAAUCCCAUAAAGUUGUUCUCAGUUCGGAUUGUAGUCUGCAACUCGACUACAUGAAGCUGGAAUCGCUAGUAAUCGUAGAUCAGCAUGCUACGGUGAAUACGUUCCCGGGUCUUGUACACACCGCCCGUCACACCACGAGAGUUUGUAACACCCGAAGCCGGUGGAGUAACCUUUUAGGAGCUAGCCGUCGAAGGUGGGACAAAUGAUUGGGGUGAAGUCGUAACAAGGUAGCCGUAUCGGAAGGUGCGGCUGGAUCACCUCCUUUCU